CAGCCCUGAUAUCUGGUCACUCUGUGGUAUUGACGGAUGCACUGAGGAAUAUAGUGUACAAUUCCUUCCAUCAUGUAAAGAGAAACCACCUUCAACACCUACUUGAUUGCAUCCGACCAGAUGAACAGCCAUCGGAGGAAAGCCAAGCACCACCGGAACACGACAACAUUCAACCCGAUCAUCUUCUAGCUAACUCCAGCAUCACUGAUCAGCAACUCCAUACAUCUGACUCAGAUGAAAGGCAAAGGGGCAUUGACCAACAUGGAGCUGUCACGGUGCAACAAAAAGGCGUGAAUGACAUUGUUGCUGGGGUACAGCAGUAUCAAUCAUCACUAUUGGACAACCUCAGGAAGUAGAUGGAGGCAGUGCUAAAGAAGCAUUCAGGAAGCACAUCAGGGCAACUUGAAAAAGAUGCAAUGAAUAUAUUUGACAAUUUCAUUGGACCUUUUGCUGGCGUUGCAACAUUUAGACAGGACAGUGUUAUUAAGAAGCAGUUUAGCUGUUUGGAUGCAGAGGAAAUUCACAUUGUUCGAACCAUAUACAGGAUGAAAUGGGGCGGAUCAAAAGACAUUUUCAUCAAAGACAAAUCAUUUUAUUAUUUACCAUUAGUCAAAAGUCUAGAACAGUUCUUAUCACAACCAAGGAUUUAGUCUAUGGUUGGAAAGGGACCCCAGAUGUGCAGGGGAAGUUUUUUUCAUGAUAUUGUAUAUGGUGCUCUUCUAAAAUCACAACCCUUAUUUUCAGAGAAACGAAAUGAUUUGCAGAUUGUUCUGUACACGGAUGAAAUAUAAAUCUAAUUAAUUAGGAUCCUUUGCAUCAAAAAACAAGUUGUUAAUGGUGUACUACACCCUAGGAAAUAUAAAUCCAAAAUACAGGUCUAAACUGGCUGCUAUCAGGCUAGAUCAGCAGACCUCCGUCAAUCUGGUGUAGAUGUAAUAUUGAAUAGAAUCAAGGAAGACAUGGAUGCAUUGUACAGUGGGGUUAAAAUGCUAACUAUUAACGGAAAGAACUUUAUAUGGUGCCAUGGUCUCUCUCUGGAGACACCCUGGCACAACAUGAACUAGCAGGGUGUAAAGAGGGUGUGGGCUUUGCCUACAGUAAGUGCAGACACUGAGUGUUCUUUUGAGGACAUGCAGCCACUCUUCAAUGAGGAUGCAUAUACUAAAAGGACUACGGAGAAGCAUGUCAGACAGUGUGAGGAAAUAGAAAAGGCACAGACUGACUUGCUUCGCAACAGCCUGAAAACAGCAUAUGGGAUCAAUAGAAGGAGCAAGUUAGUUGAAUUCCCAGCCUUUGAUAUCAUGCAACAAACUCCGCAAGACAUUAUGCAUGUAAUUCUGGAGGGCAUAGCCUCAUUGGAAAUCAAAUGUGUUUUGAAUCAUCUUGUUGUGUCAGGUUUCUAGUUUUGAGUUGGUUGAUCCACUUCCAUCUCUGACACGUGGAAACCGGAGGGGGGAAGGGACGGGGUGCACUCCACUCAUAUGCGCGUAGGCCGGAGGGGUCCUGGCUCGGCCGGCCAAAGUCGUAGGCCCCAUGGUUGCCCACUUGUAGAUUUUAACCCAUAGGUUGGGUUAAAAAGUCGUCUGUCCGUAGGUUAGGGGUUAGGGUUAGGUAUAGUUUGUAGAUUGGUUAAGGUUAGGGUCAGGUAUAGUUUUUAGAAUGGUUAAGUUUAGGUAGGUCUGUCGACUCGAUGUAGGAUCAGGCAAAAUCCCUUGAGUUGCGCACCUUAUGCAGGUUUGGUCCUCGGUUGGUUGCCAUGUGUCCAUAUCGAGUGGUGUGGUCAUGAUGUCUAGGUCCGCUUUGUCAACGGAUGUGGAAAGCAUAGUGCAACCUAGGAGUUUGCUCCCCAUCGGAUCCUUCUCUUUUAGCUCCACGUUGUCUAUGUAUUUACUUCCGUGUUCGUCAGUCUUUAGCUCCUGGAUGUUUUCAAUCAUGUGUGUAAUUCAGGGGUUAUUCCCUUCCAGGAUCCUAACUCUGAAUCAACCCAUGUCUAGUCGAAUCCAGCUGGUCUGUAUGGGUAUACUCGGCGUAGGAUCAGGCAAAACCGUCGAGUUGCGUACCUUGUGCAGGUCCGGACCUCAGUUGGUUGCCAUGUGUCCCUGUCGAGUGGUUAGUCAUUGAACUGCCAUUGGUUUGAGCAGACAAAAACCCAGAAGGCGAGCCCUCUCUACGGUUGUCAUGCAUCCGCCCUUGGAGUUCCGUCCUGCGUUUUGGUAGGUGUAUGGAGGGUUUAGGAUCAGGCAAACUUCCUCUGGCUUUGUAUCGUACGUCUGCCAGGAGUCAGUUGAUUGCCAUCGGUCCAUCCCCACCAUCUCAGUCGUAGGUAAUUCAGUGGUUUGGGUGAUAGUGACCCGUGGAGCUACUCCCUUCCAGGAUCGUAGCGUUCCAGUGGUAUGUCAUCCCUAGACAGUGAUUUUUUUUUCGUAGUCCAGGUAAAAAAGUGGAUCGGUUGUCCAGGCUUAGUGCGGCGGGGUAAGGGGUCCCCCAGUGAAAAAUUGUUCUGUGGGAUCCAAUUCUCCUCGAGACAUAAUCUGGGCACCCCAGGGAUUACACGGCCGACGCGAUCCUCCAGCCGCAGCGCCCAACCCAAAAGCUCCACUUUCUAAAGCUAAGGUACCCCAACUCGCUAGGCAGAGCCACGCGCUACUGAACAUACUGCCAAUCCAAUUCUAAACUGGGGUAGAUAGUCGUCCAGCGCGGUACGUGAGUCCCCUGUUUUUGUGGAGCUGGGGGGGUUGAGCCGAUUGGUCUGCCAACAAGACCCCGAGAGGUCCCGGAGGAGUCCGGUCAAUCCAUUUCCUCCCGUCUUCUUGCUUGGUGUAUGGAAGGGCCUAAUUGCUUAGGGUAUAAUCGCUGCGGGGGAGUCGCCAAGGUCGGUGUCCCAAGAGUAGUUGGCGAAAAAAGGUUCUCAUCCGUUGGGGGUGCUGGUGGGUGUGGAUGAGAAGUAUUUUGGAAGGAUGGUGGGUUGGUAAGGGUUUUUUGGCUGACAUUUUGUUAUUUAGUUCUAUUUUAUUGUUUCUUUUCAUCAAGGCCCAUGGUCAUGGUAACCCCGAGUUCAAGAAACCAAAAAGACAAACAUAUAUAUAUAUAUAUAAAUAUUACAAGAUAUUUUUAAAUUUAAGACUAAAGGUAAGAAUUUGAGAGUCCGUGGUCACGGUAACUCUAUAGUGCUAUUGGAGGUCUAUUUUUGUGGUCUUAAUGACCCCCUAUCUUUUGUAAGGUGCAGGUGCAGUGUAUGUCCGGGCGUUCCUGCGCUGUACUGAAAGCCUCAGUGGUGGUCUGGCCCGUAGUAGUAGUGUUGGACCUGGAGGGGUUUGGGAGGUGAAUCCUGGUCCGUGGAUCCUGGCGAGUUUAUUUGGUUUCUUCAUUGUGGUUUAUUUUAGAGGUGGCUGCUGACUAGAGCAUCCUUGAGGUUCUUGUUCCUUAUGAGGGCCAGGAUGGGUAUGUGAAGAGAGUAAUUGUUUAUAUUUGAGUCUUUUUUUGGAUGUGAGUAGCCACUCUGUAGCUGGGUGAGUUGUAGGUUGUAAUGAUGGGUAUGAUUUGGUGGUUUCCUUUGGUUUGUCCUUUCCGUGUGUGUCUCUCGGAGUCGCUUUGGGCCUUUUUGAGUGCCGAGCGAGUUUUUGAAGAGGAUGUGUUGAGGUCUUGGGGUUGGGUGCAUAUCCUGCUGUACUUGAGGAAUUGUGAUUUGGUCGGUGUCAUUUGGAGAGGAUGAGUCUCUGCCUGUGGGGGUGGAAGGGUUCGUAGAUCGGAAGUGAUCCGAGGGUUAUCCUGGUGUGGGGUAGUUGCGAGGAAGUUGAGUUUUUCCACCUGAGAUGCUGCAUCCAUGAGUACCUCGUCCUUGAUGAUGUUAAACUCCAACAGGUGCUGUUGAGAGGGGUGGUCCUAAGAGUGCUGGUGGAUUGGUGGUUAGCAUCUUGAAGGUGGGGAGGUUUUUGUCCGUAGCUGCCCAUUUGUUUAUGGUCACUUCUAUCCCCUCGGAUUGGGGAGGAUGGUUCUUGUGGUAUGUGGCUAGCAGAGGAUUUCCGUGGCUUGGUUGUAACCCGCUCCUGCUGAUUUUCAUGACAUUCCCCCCUGGUUUGGGUAUGGGAUGGCAUGGAAAGAUCAGAGGCCACCUUAGCACUAUCCCUCUGCUCCUCUCCCUCAACCACCCUGGUCAGGGUAUGAUCUCGGGGUGGGUAAGGAGGGUUAGUGUUUCCCGGCGGGGGCCCACCCUGUGCCACCCUGGUCAGGGUAUGGCUGGGUUUCUGGGUCCCUGAGUAUGGUGGAGGUAAGCCGCUUUUUGUUGGAAGUGUCCCUGGUUUUUCGUGUUGGGCAGUGGAAAUAUUUUUCCCUGGAGUGUUGUGGGGUGACGAUUCCCGAAGAGGGGGCGUAAU